AGAAUCAACGCUGGCGGCGUGCCUAACACAUGUAAGUCGCACGAGAAAGGGGAGCAAUCCCUGAGUACAGUGGCGCACGGGUGAGUAACACGUGAAUAAUCUACCUCCGAGUGGGGAAUAACUGAGAGAAAUCUUAGCUAAUACCGCAUAAUACCCACGGGUCAAAGCAGCAAUGCGCUUGGAGAGGAGUUCGCGGCAGAUUAGUUAGUUGGCGGGGUAAUGGCCCACCAAGACGAUGAUCUGUAUCCGGCCUGAGAGGGCGCACGGACACACUGGAACUGAAACACGGUCCAGACUCCUACGGGAGGCAGCAGUGGGGAAUUUUGCGCAAUGGGGGAAACCCUGACGCAGCAACGCCGCGUGGAGGAUGAAGCCCCUUGGGGUGUAAACUCCUUUCGAUCGGGAAGAUAAUGACGGUACCGAUAUAAGAAGCCCCGGCUAACUUCGCGCCAGCAGCCGC
rnacentral:rRNA from 1 species